rfam:Schistosoma mansoni strain Puerto Rico chromosome 1, complete genome
AUCCAGCUGACGAGUCCCAAAUAGGACGAAACUCCCAUCCUGGAU